AGAGUUUGAUCCUGGCUCAGAACGAACGCUGGCGGCGUGGAUUAGACAUGCAAGUCGUGCGACAGACCAGGAAUUGAUUACUUCGGUUUGAUUUUCCUGACGAUGAGCGGCGAACGGGUGCGUAACACGUGAGAAACCUGCCCUUAAGUUCGGGAUAGCCCUACGAAAGUAGGAUUAAUACCGAAUGUGGCCUUAGGAUAGCAUUUUCCUUUGGUUAAAGCUCGGUUAUAGAGCGCUUUUGGAUGGUCUCGCGGUCUAUCAGCUUGUUGGUGAGGUAACGGCUCACCAAGGCUCUGACGGAUAGCUGGUCUGAGAGGAUGAUCAGUCACACUGGAACUGAGAUACGGUCCAGACACCUACGGGUGGCAGCAGUCGAGAAUCAUUCACAAUGGGCGAAAGCCUGAUGGUGCGACGCCGCGUGGGGGAUGAAGGGCUUCGGUUCGUAAACCCCUGUCAUCUGUGAGUAAGGCUCCCAAUAAAAGCUUGGGAGAUUGAUAUUAGCAGAAGAGGAAGGGACGGCUAACUCAGUGCCAGCAGCCGCGGUAAUACUGAGGUCCCAAGCGUUGUUCGGAUUUACUGGGCGUAAAGGGUGCGUAGGCGGCUAUAAAAGUUUGAUGUGAAAUCUCCGGGCUCAACCCGGAAACUGCAUUGAAAACUAAAUGGCUAGAGGAUCGGAGAGGAGAUUGGAAUUCUCAGUGUAGCAGUGAAAUGCGUAGAUAUUGAGAGGAACACCAGUUGCGAAGGCGGAUCUCUGGACGACUCCUGACGCUGAGGCACGAAAGCUGGGGUAGCGAAGAGGAUUAGAUACCCUCGUAGUCCAGCCGUAAACGGUGCGCACUUGCUGUGGCGGAUUCGACCCCGUCCGUGGCGAAGCUAACGCGUUAAGUGCGCCGCCUGGGGGAGUACGGGUCGCAAGAUUAAAACUCAAAGAAUGGACCGGGGGCUGCACAGCCGGGUGGAGGUAUGUGCCUAUUUCGAAUGCACGCGAGAACUACUGCCUGACAUGUAGUGACUGGGAGUGCGAAAAAUUCAAC
rnacentral:rRNA from 1 species